UAUGCACAACGGGAAAACAUAUAAGUGAAAAAUGAAAAAGAAAAAUCACCAAGAAGCAAGUAGCAUUCAAAAUUUUGAGCUUUUCAUCAGUGUAUUCAAACAUACGAAUCAAGGGAGGCAACAACAAGAAUUCUUUUAUUUUUUUCUUCCCAAGAGAAACAAAGCAAGAACAUGUAUCAUAAACUUGUUUCUUUUAAUAAACCUAUAGCCUCACAAUACAUCUAAUGAUGUAAAAAAAAAAAGAACCAUCAAUAUAUAUGCUUCAUCCCUUAUGGAAUCUGUGAGGAGCUGUGAUACCUAAACAUUUGGUUACUUCAUGAAGCCACUUCAUGGAAAGAUUAUAGUAAUUUACAAAGGGGAAGAAACAACAAUAUCUGGCUGAACUAGAGGUAUCACAAAGAGUAUUCCGUGCAUUCCAAAAACCAAACCACAAAAAUAAUAAAUCUGGUCAUGAAGCUUCAGCAUUGUUUGCAAUUUUAUAGCAUGCAUGUAUAAUGCAUCUUCUGCUAGGGAAGUCAUCUGAAAGCUCCAAUUUCAAAGUAAACUGCAGCAACUAACUUGAAGCUAAUAAAAAUCAUGAACCUUCCCAACUGUUUGUUACUCUACUUCAGUGAAGUAUAUUUUAUGUAUAGAAGCAAACAAUCCGAAGGCAUAACAGCAAAUAAUUUCUCAGGAAAAUGGGGUAAAAAAGUUAAAAUCUUGGCCUGCAAACUAAAAGUCAUGUAAUGAGAUGUGAUGAAAGAACUAUGAAACAGACACAUACUGCACUCCCCCCCCC
rnacentral:lncRNA from 1 species